ACGGAGUGGGGAGAGGGGUAGGAGGGGAUCUUCGCUGCAUGAAAUGAUAUCUUUAGGUAGGCGAUAGACGCAGAAUUUUAACUCAUCGGAAAAUCGCUAUUGCCUUAUUCUGUGUUUCUAUGUGCGUGACAUAUGCAUUCCUGUAUGUUGAAUUCCUCUGUUCCGCUAUUGCUGUUGCCUCGCAUUGUGUUUACGGCUUUAUAAUUUAGAAGAAGAAGAAAAAAAAAGAAAUCUGACAAGUCAUAUCAGCUGAUGAAUGUUUAGUACAUAUGACACCUGUUGAAAAUCAAGUAUCUGUUCCUCAGUUCAUCUCUUAUAAUUAAUUACGAUAUGUUAAGAAAGCUUACCUUUGAACUUCUACCGAUUGUUUAUCGCUGCAGACUCGCGAACACGUUGAAGCAUAAUAUCAAACGCGAAUAUAAUGGAAUAUCAUCCUCCACUUUACAUGCCGAAGCAAAUAAUACGUUACAUGUGGACGAACAACUGCAGGAAAUUUUUAAAUUUAAGGACACUAAGAUCAGCAAUUGGAUCAUAGAGAACAAGGCACAUGCACUGUGCAUCAGCUAUACUGAAAGCAAUAAAGAUAAUCGCCAAUGGAUUUUAUGUACGUUAGCUUCACGAUAUGCUGUACAACACAACGAUAUAUGUCAAGUGGCCAAGAAAUUGGUCUGCACUGAGCCUGAAAAUGAACGACAGAUGAUUGUCCAUGAGAGAGCUUUGAAGAAUAUUCUCACUCCUGCUUAUCAUUGGUUAUUCGUUAUUAUAGGAAGAUUACAGCAUGGCGUCAAAUUCUUGGUUGACCUACGAACUGAUGUUCUGCAACUAAUAUCAGAAAUGAAAGAUCCAGAUGAAAGCAUAACAGUACAACAACUAAAUCAUACAUUACGAGAUUUGCUUUUACUCUGGUUUUCCGUGGGUUUCUUACAUAUGGAACGAAUAACCUGGGAAAGUUCAUGCGAUAUAUUGCAGAAAGUCUCUGAUUACGAAGCUAUACAUCCUAUGAGAAAUUGGUUGGACUUGAAACGCAGAGUUGGGCCAUAUAGAAGAUGUUACAUAUUUACACAUCCAUCCAUGCCAAGAGAACCUAUUGUUGUGUUGCAUACAGCAUUAUGUGAUGUUAUACCAGAUAGUGUAAAAGGUAUUGAAGAAGCUGAAACUAGAAUUUUGGGAAGCGCUAAGAAAUAUAUAACUUUUUUAGAGGAAGACAAAUCAAAAAUAAAAGCAGCAAUAUUUUAUUCUAUAGUAUCUACUCAGAAAGGAUUGCAGGGGAUUGAACUCGGUAAUUAUUUGAUAAAAGAAGUAGUCAGCGAGAUCACAACUGAAUUUCCAGCUAUACGACAAUUAUCUAGCUUAUCACCAAUACCAAAUUUUAAGACUUGGUUAUUUGAUAAAUUGAAACAAGACAUGGAAUUUAUAUUUACCACACAAGAAUAUCAAAUUGCAAAAGAUAUUUUGCAAACAAAAAAUUUGAUAUCAACCUUAAAAAAGAUCUUGGACACAUCGCUAUGGACAGGAGACAAGCAAUUGUCAGAAUUUUUAAAAGAACCAUUACUUCGAGCAUGUGCUUGGUACUUGUAUAAAGAAAAAAGACGUAGCUAUGCUUUAAAUACUGUCGCUAAUUUCCAUUUACGCAACGGAGCUGUGAUGUGGCGAAUAAAUUGGAUGGCUGAUCCUUCACCACGCGGAGUGGCAAAUAGUUGCGGCAUAAUGGUUAACUAUAGAUAUUUCUUAGAAGAUUCUGAAAAAAACAGUCGAAAUUACAUUGAACAUUUUACCAUAAAUGCUACAGAAGAUAUAAUUAAUCUUGCGACGCAAGCGGAAAAAUUAAGAAAUUCAUCAUAAUAUGGAUUAUAACGUAUUAUGGAAGAAGACGAAGGCAUGAGAAUAUAAUAAAUAUCGCAAUUGCAAGAGGAAGAAAGUUAUUAUGAAUAAUCAUAGAGAAACAAUCAGAAAAUUAUAUAAUGGAACGAUAUUGAAAGCUUCGACUUCUUUUCUACUAUUUUUUAUUAAUACUUGAAUCAAAUAUACGCAUGUGUGUGCGUUACAUGUGAUAUGUAUGUAAAAGAAAAGGGAAAUAAAACUGAAUACACACACCUGUA
rnacentral:misc_RNA from 1 species